CUCCAGCGAGGUGGGGAACCCCUCUCCCGACUCGACACUUACCUCCCUGUCCCCAGACAUCACCUUCUGACCUAAGAUUCUGAUCGCCUUGCUUGGGACCUGGAACUUUGCCCUGACACUGCUACUCCUGCCUGGAGAACCGUGUUACACUGUCCCCCAGAGUCCUGGCCCAGGGACUGGUAUUUGAUUGCAGGACUGAUUGGCUUUUCAACCCGGAACUUCUUCCGGGGUACCUGGAGAUAAUGACGUCACAGUGAGAACUCCUGAGAGAAAGGAAAGAAGAUCCUUCGCUUCCGGCUCCUAUAUUCAACCUGCUGUGAUUUUAUUAGACUCUGCUUUCUAAAUCCAUGAGGUGAGAUGGGAGCCUACAAGCAGCCUUAGAAGUAAGGGCAGAAGAGGGGGCAGAUUGCAGAGAAGAGAGAAGUCCAGCAAGAAUUAAGUCAAGAUAUGAAACGAUUGGGUCCCUCCUCUUUGUAAGUUCCAGCAUGUGGUUCCUUUAAAAAGAUGGAGAAAAGUUGGAAAGAAGAAUCCAGCAAAAUCUCUAGAAGGAGGGCAAGAACUGGCUGCCUCUGAAAUUUCUCUCUUGACAUUGCUGAGAUCCUGUGUGCAUGGAUCUCUCGGACUUGUGGGGACAAUGACAGGCAAGGUGACCCCUGCUGCUGUCAGAGAUGGGGUCACCCAGAGAAAAAUGAGGCCAGGACUCUACACAUGAAAUAGAACAGUCAGUACACCAACAACAAUAAUAGCAAUAACUAUAUAAGCAAAAUAUAAACACAUUAAAAAAAAGACAGGUGCUAAGGAUUGGUCCAAGGCCUAAUCCUAGGCUGACUGUUUAAGAAACGCACCCUGCCCCUGGUCCUGGAGAUACAACAAGGCCCAGGUGACUUCUGAGUUCAUGAUCACAGGUGCUUGGCAGGACAAGGAUUCACUGAAGGGACAAGGACAAAGGAAUGGAGAAGAGGACCCAGUCCAGAAGUGACCACGGGCAGCAUAUGGGAGUCCAGUGCAUGCCCAUCAGGCACUGAUCACUGGGCACAGGCCCUGUCCUCACUCAUCUCCUCACAGCCUCCUCCUGUCCCUCCUGCAGCUGACUCA